UACGUAGGAUCCGAGCGUUGUCCGGAAUUACUGGGUGUAAAGGGUCCGCAGGCGGGCAAGUAAGUCGGUGGUGAAAGUUCACGGCUCAACCGUGAAAUUGCCUUCGAUACUGCUUGUCUUGAGUUCGAGAGAGGAUGAUGGAAUUCAUGGUGUAGCGGUGAAAUGCGUAGAGAUCAUGAAGAACACCGGUAGCGAAGGCGGUCAUCUGGCUCGAUACUGACGCUCAGGGACGAAAGCGUGGGUAGCAAACAGG
rnacentral:rRNA from 1 species